rnacentral:rRNA from 1 species
UACGUAGGGUGCGAGCGUUAAUCGGAAUUACUGGGCGUAAAGGGUGCGCAGGCGGUUAUAUAAGACAGAUGUGAAAUCCCCGGGCUCAACCUGGGAACUGCGUUUGUGACUGUAUGACUAGAGUACGGUAGAGAGGGGUGGAAUUCCUGGUGUAGCAGUGAAAUGCGUAGAUAUCUGGAGGAACAUCAGUGGCGAAGGCGGCUUCCUGGUCCAACACUGACACUGAGGUGCGAAAGCGUGGGGAGCAAACAGG